rnacentral:lncRNA from 10 species
AAAAAUCCUGAGCCUCUUAUGCAAGUCAACCCAACUUCUGCACACUGCAAACCAAAGGGAGAAGCAGUUGCUGUUAAGCCACAAAAGAAAAUAUUGUGAAACAGUUACCUAAAGUGAUUGUACCAAUUAUACCCCCUAUACUAGAAUUGUGUGAGAGUUCCAGUUAUUCCACAUCUUCACCAACAUUUGCUAUCAUCAAUUUUAUUGUUAAGCCAUUCUGCUUUAAUGCCAGCAUUUCCUGGUUCCAAAUCCGAAGAAACAAGUCAAUGCCCUUCUGCUUCCGUGUCCUGGCUCCAUUCCUCUUCUCACCUCAUCAAGUGCUGUUUUUCGUCAUCCAAGUGUCAUGAGGGGUGGUGAGUUGCAGUGGAAGGAGGCUCUCAUCCUGUCCAAGAACCCCUUGGUAAUUCUCCAGAUUGCUUACUCUGGGGGAAGUUGGUUGCCACGUUAUAAGGACAUUUCAGUGGCCAACAGAGAUAUCCAUGCAACAAGAAGCUGAAGCUUCCUGCUAACAGAUAUGAGUGAGCCAUCUUGGAAGAAGAUUCUACACAUCCCCAGUCGAGCCUUCAGAUGACUGCAGCCCCUGCCAACAUCCAACCCUAUGAGAGACCCUGAGUUACAACCACCCAGCUAAGCUGCUCCUAAAUUCCUGAUCCACAGAAACUGCAAGAUAAUAAAAUUUUGCUGUUAAGCCAUUA